rnacentral:other from 2 species
UGCGGACUGCCUUGUUGGUGACUGCCUUUUACAGUUUUCUGAUCUGACUCCUCUUUCGACAUGGGGAGUCUGCGGCGGAAGCGACGUAAACCGGCCUCGUAGCCGGAAAUGAAGCCCCGCUCCUGACACCCCUUCUGGUAACUCCAGGUCGAACACUGGGGCAAAACGGCACGGCGGUCCAUCC